UUUAGUUUUUAUGAAUAUAUGCUUCUUUAUAGUAUCUAGAUACUUACAUUUAAUUCCAACGUGAUAUUUGUUACCAUAAAUACUACAGCAAAUCUUGACAUUUAAUUCUUUAUUUAAUGUCAUUUCCUUUCUGCUUCAUAUUUUCUUGUGAACUAUAAGGGGCUAGGAGUCCUGCACCUGCUAGAAAGGAAUUUGGAGGUAACCGUUUACAUUUGUUAUCAUAUCUGAAUCUUGGUUCACUAAUCUUUUCCAGGUUGAUUUCUCUGAGAGACAUUUUAGGUUUGUUUGAUACGAAUCAAGAUAAGUGACAUUUAUACUACAUGUUAAAAAUAACUCUGAACUUCUAUUAUAUUUCUCUUAAAGUUUACAGCAUAGCUUUUUUGUAAAUACAAGUAAUGAGAGCUUCUAUCUUCCAGGAAGACAUAGUGGAACUACUUAACAAGAUUGAAUAUGCUUUUUUUUUUUUUUUUUUUAAAUGUAGUCAAUCGGGUCACAAAGAUUUAGUACCCAGCAGUCAUACUAAUUUCAAAAGGGUUUCAGAUACACUGGAUACAGAACAUUUCCCACGUCUUAAUGAGUGAUUCUCUAGUAUAUUCCUUUUCUUUUUUUUUUUCUUGGUACUGAGGAUUGUAGUACAUUCCUUUUCUAAUGGAAAAGUUUGUAGGGUAGCAAAGUUUCCAGGAAUGUAAUUUAAACUUAUGGUAAUCAUCUGAAAUAUAUCUUCUAUUUUGUAUUUAUUAUAACUUGUUAUAAAACUCCUGCCUCAUUUAUUUAAGAACUCUAUGGUUUUCUUUUCAGUACAGAAACUUUUAUCCUAAAAUGGAUCACUUUUUUUAAAAAUUAAGUAAUUUAUUUGGUUGGCAUGUGAACCCACAGAGCCCAAUUGGAGGUAUACAUUUGACAAGUUUGUUUAAUCUGUUUCUCCAGAAGGAUGAGGCAGGUUGUCACAAUUCCUCAAAAGGGUUUGUACAAAUCCAUCUUUAAUAUCAGGCCCACUGUUCAUGUGUAGUUGGUGUAAUUUCUAUUCUAGCUGCCUGAGGAGUUUACAUUCAGUUAUUACAGACUGACUUUGCAUGUGUAUAGAUUUUGGUAACUUUGUAUAAUAAGAAUAGCUAAAUUAAUUCAGCAUCACAGCUUCCACGAAGUACUGCCUAGUGAUAAUUUUUCCAUUGAGCUACAGAAACCAUCAAUAUUUCCCAAACUCUUCCUUAUAUUUUCAUGAUAAAUUCAGUUUACCUUCUGCUUUAAUUAGAAAACCAACCUAUAGAAAAUAAAAAGUGUGGUGGUAAUUCAGUGGUAAAGUGUUUGCCUGGCAUGUGUGAGCCCCUGAGUUCAAUUCUCAGCACCAAAAAUAAAAAAAAAGAAAAAGUAGUCUCAUUGAAAUUAAAACUUCAUUUGUGAUCUUCUUUCCUUUUGACAAAUAUUGGAGCUUUUAGUAGAGAUGGAAUUCUAGCAAUAAAGAAUGAGAUGAUCUUAGAAGAAAGACAUUAACUUUUUAAUAUUUCCUGUGCUUAGUAAUCUCAGAUAAAAAAGAAAAGAAAAUUGCUGUCCCAUUUCAGUUUGAGGAGGAGGAGGACUCAAAUUUGGGCUUAGUCUAAAGCCACGUUUGUUUAUACUGUUAUCUUUAAAGAGAUGUAAAGCGAAGAAGGAACCCUUGUGCAAAAAAGUAAUUGUGUGUCUGCCUUUCUUCAUUCUGUGCUGCGGACUCUGAACAAUAUAUAGCUUUUGUUCUUUUUCUAAAAAGGUAUUGGAGCCCCUCCCAGUCCUGGGGUAGCUAGGAGAGAGAUGGAAGCACCCAAAAGCCCUGGAACAACACGGAAAGAAAAUAUAGGACGCAGUCAGCCUUCACCUCAAGCAGGACUUGCAGGCCCAGGACCUGCUGGACCCAGUACAGCCAGACC
rnacentral:lncRNA from 1 species